UUGGAAGGUGCUCGCUGGGGCCCUUGGCCAGAAAUCCUGCAGGCAGCAACACGAGGACACUCAUGCAGGCCCGAACGGGCCAGAGUCCGGCAGAUAGGCAGGGCGGAGGAGUCCCGGGGCAGGCACUGACUGCACACUCGCCUACGGGGUUUCUUUGCCCAUCCAGUGAGACGGGCUUUCGGGGAGGGAAUUUAAAGAUGUCAGCAAUUUAAGGGAAAAUAAAGAAGAAGCCGUGGCCUCUUGCCGAGCCAAGCGGUUACGGAGACGGGUUCCUCGGCCAUGCGUCCUGGGUCAAGCCACGGCUCUGCCUGGUCUGUAUGCCCCUGGGCGCUCAGCUUCCUCGGUUUUCCCAUCUGUACGAUCGGAACCAUCCGGCUCCUACUUCGCAGGGUUGCUGGGAGGGAGUGAGCUGGCAGAUGUGUGGUGACUGGGAGAGUUUCUGGCGGCUGGCGCCGUGGUGCAGAGGGUGAGGCUGCUGUUUGUGACUCCGGCAUCGCACAUUUACAGCGUCAGCUCAAGUCCCUGCUGCUCUACUCCUAAUCCAGCUCCCUGCUAACGUGCUCUGGGGAGCCAGCAGACGGUGGCCCAAGUACUGGGGUCCCCGCCACCCACGUGGGAGACCCGGAUGGAGUGCCUGGCUUCCGCCUGGCCCGGCUGUUGUGGCCAUUUGGAUGGAAAAUCUUUCUUUCCACUUUUCAGACACGUGAAUGACUCUUAAAAGGAGAAGGAGAAGUGCCUGGGAUAUACUGAGGCUUUAGAAGUGGGAGCUGUCAUUGUCGCCACCUUAGCAGUUCUUCCGGGACACUUAUUUAUUAUCUGUUCUCAGCGUUGCCUUGCAGGUCUCCCACGAGCCUCACUACACACGGGAGAGCCAGAGGGACUCCUGGCCCUUGAGCCAGCUCCCCAGUUUCCCAGGCCCCCUCGGCCGGACCCCCAGACUUGGGCCAGCCUGGCCCAUGGCCCUGACUGCAGCAGCUUUGUGCCCAAACAGAAGCCUACUCAGCCUCCCUCCAAGCCUGAGUCCAGCCUGACCCAGACAAAGCCCCACAUGUCAGGGGCAGAAGCCUGCUCAGCAGAGCCAGGGCCGGGGUCGCCAGGCCCUGCUGCUGCCAGGUGAGCGACUCCUGGGGCCCCCAGGGCACUUGUCAGAAACUCCCAGCCGAUACCAGGCUGAAAUCUGGGUCACUCUGUGCACGGGUCGGCCAUCCAUCAAACCGACAGUCAGCUAAG
rnacentral:lncRNA from 1 species